CUUAUGUUUAAAAAUAUUUGUCUUUAACGUAUUUUUAAUAUAGUAUGCAGUAUUAUUAGAUUUAAUUAGAAAAAAAGGCUUAAAAAGUUCUAUUUGAGUUCCUUUACGUAUAAUUUAAAAGAAUUCUAAUGGCGAAUAAAUUUAGAAGGCAAUCUGCUUAUGAAAUAAUAGAGGAACACAACAUUGAAAGAGAAAGAUCACACAAAAGAAGAUCUGUUUUUGAAGAUUCUCAUGAAACAACUCCAGAGGACAAUGAUAAAUUAGAUUUAAUUUUAAGUAAGUGGGAUCAAAGAUGGAGUGGGUUCAGAACAAGGGAUGUUAGAAACGCUCAGAAUGUCGAGACAUACUCUAAUCAAAAGCACAUCAGAAGAGUUCUUAAGAAGGAGACUGAUAUGUGGUUAUCUGGAAUCAAAAAUAUGGUUGGAAAGAUUCAAGAAUUCGAAGAGCAGACCGAAUAUAUCGAGAUAAUAGGUGAAUGCGAUUUGCUAUCAAAAAACAGAAGCAUUUUAAAAAAGAUAGAUACAAAACUUAUGAUUGUUCUUGAGAAAACACACCAGAUCAUAAACUCAUGUGAAGUGCUUGUCUCGAAGCAGGAGAGAAUAAAAGCGAACAUCGACCCAAAUAUUAUAAAGUCAAAGCACCUGUUUAUAUAAAAUAUGAUUUCUUCAUACAUUUAUUAUUUUGUAAGAUAUUUCCAUAUAUUGUAUUACUCUCAUAAUAUAGGUUUUAUUAACAAAUUACUGAUUCCUGAAAUAUUAAACUAAAGGCUAGUUAAAUUAAGAAGAAUCAUUACAACAUAGUUUCUGUUA